GCAACCAUGGAGACGGGUUGUAUUGAAGAACAAUUAGAAUGUCCAGUCUGUUUACAACGAUAUGAAGUGCCUAAAGUAAUGCCGUGCCAACACACUGUUUGUUUGUAGUGUCUCGAGCGUCUAGCCCAAUUGAGUCGUGUCAUUAAAUGUCCGGAAUGUCGAGCUGAACAUCCUGUACCGACGAAAGGAGUAACUGGAUUCCCUAACAGUAUUGUAAUUCAGAGACUUCUUGGAGCAGUUGGUCCACAAAAUGUUUCAAGUCCAAAUAUAGAAAAACGCUGAUGUAUGACCGCAUAUACAUUAAUAAGACGUAAACAGAGUCAGGUUUGAUUUGUCUUUAGUCCAGAGAAGACACCAAUCUCCAGCAACCUGACGAAAUGUA